rnacentral:lncRNA from 1 species
GCCUGCAUUCUGCUGCUCCAGGCCCACGAGGACAGCGCAGAAGCCAGCCCGCAGGCCGCCUUCCUCUUUCCCUGCCGAGCUCCCUCCUUUCGCAGACCCCUGCACACGGUGGGUGCCCCGGGCCUGCCUCAGCAACCUGGUGGGAUGGGCUCUGUCAGUGCCCCGUCAGUGCCCUGGGUUCAAAUCCUGACUCUGCUACUUGGGAGUGCCACGGUCUGGUGUGCAGCUCGUGUGGCUUUUGCUGCUCAGCCUCAUCUAUAAGGAAUCGAGGAAAUAAAGGAAGUAAAACAGGUGUCAACAGUAAAUGUCCCUCAAGGACGAGAUGGAGCUUCAAGCUAAGUUGUGACCAGAGCCCCCUUGACGGACAUGCCCUGAGAACUCACCCCUUGCCUGGAAGUUCACUCUGAGGUCUAUCCUGAGUUCCUCCUGCUGCCUCCUCACCUGCCUGUGCUGCUCGGAAGUUCCUUGGCUCUGCUUGGUGACGUGGAGCCCUUUGACACCAGGGCAGACUGGUGACGCCUCCACAGCUGUGCUCUGCCCUGAAGCUGGAUCCAGCCUGCGAAAGCUAAGAGAAGGUUCUGGGCAGGGGUGCCGUUCCUUCUAGCACCCCACCUCCAAGGAGCUAGCUGCCCGGGGCGGGAACAGAGCUGAGAUGGGAGGGGCAGGCAGAGGGGCCACUGCUGUACCAGAUUCCCCAAAGGACAGAGGCGCUAUCCGCUCUACCACUCCCCCAGGAAUCACACCCUGCCGACCUGCCUCAUUAACUCGCUGGCCCGUAGGACAGAGAUGCUGGUGCCUGCCAGAUCCCCAGACUCCAGAGAGAGGGCCAUGAGCCACAGCAGGACUUGCCCCCCACUCUCAGCCAGGGCCCGGCAUCACUUACGCCGGCCUGCCUCUUCCUGUCUCUGGCUAUCUCUGGCUGUCUUUCUCUGAGCAUACUAGGGCCUAAAACCUGCUCAGAACAGGAGGAGGGCUGUGGGCUCCCAGGACCCAGGGAGGGGGAAAACACAGGGGCUGAGAAAGAAUCAGUGAGCCAGACUGCUAAGAGAAACAGCUGAUCACAGGGAUUGUUCUGCACUGACUAGAGAUGGGACCCACUAAAGGAAUCUAAUGUAACCUCUGCUGCCUUCUGAUACGGGAAUCUUCUCCACUUCACCUCUUUGCCAAGUGUUCCCUGGCUUCUGCUUGUUUGCCUCUAGUGACAGACAGCUCAGUCCUUUAGAACUGAGCAGAGGGAUAAGGACCAAGAACAGAGGCUUUUUUUAAUAUAUAUAAUUAAUUUUUACUGGAGUACAGUUGCUUGACAGUGUUGUGUUAGUUUCUACUUCACAGCACAAUGAAUCAGCCACACGUAAUCCUACGUCCCCUCCCUUCUGGACUUCCUUCCUAUUCAGGUCACUGCCAUGC